rnacentral:rRNA from 1 species
UACAGAGGGUGCGAGCGUUGUUCGGAAUUAUUGGGCGUAAAGGGCGCGUAGGCGGUGCGGUAAGUCACCUGUGAAAUCUCCUGGCUCAACUGGGAGCUUGCAGGCGAAACUGCCGUGCUGGAGUGUGGGAGAGGUGCGUGGAAUUCCCGGUGUAGCGGUGAAAUGCGUAUAUAUCGGGAGGAACACCUGUGGCGAAAGCGGCGCACUGGACCACAACUGACGCUGAGGCGCGAAAGCUAGGGGAGCAAACAGG